UUGAUAGAGGAGCAAAUUUCAAAAGUACUCUAGCUUAGGGGGCACCUGUUUGAAGCUAUAGGAAAGGGGUAAUUUGCCGAAACACACGAAGAGGCGUCUUUGUGGAGUUGGGAUAUAGUCAUAAUAGGCUAUAUACUCCUACAAUUUAU
rnacentral:ncRNA from 1 species